UUUAUUUAAUGCGAAAUGUGAUGUGUAAUUUCCUGACACAUGCAUCAGUUUGCUUUUACAUAUUAACUAUGCCAAUUGAAGUAAAGUCCAUACAUAUUUACAGCCUUAUACCUCUUCUGGCCCCUUACCUCUUAAUAGCGUUUGGACUGGGCCUGCACUUCUACCAGUUUCCUCAAGGUCUACCUAAAUACUGUAAUGUGGGUAUAAUUUAAGGAUCAGAUCAGCCAUUUUACAAAAAGAACAAAACAUUUUUCCAUAUACCUUUUUACUAGUGUGUGGCCAUUCCGAUAGUUUUGGGUUUAUCUGCUCACAAUUUUAAAAUAUCCAUUUUGAAUAUGUUUGCUUCUCUCUUAAUACAAUUAAGGUGAAUAGAAUUUAGUUUGUGGUGCUCAAAGUAUUGGAAGUGAUGUAUGAAAAAAAAAAACAAUAAUCCACAGGCAC